rnacentral:tRNA from 2 species
UCCGGCGUAGCUCAGUCGGUAGAGCAGACGGCUGUUAACCGUCGGGUCGCAGGUUCGAGUCCUGCCGCCGGAGCCA